UGGGGUGUAGCCAAGCGGCAAGGCAUGGGACUUUGACUCCCACAUCCAGUGGUUCAAAUCCACUCACCCCAGCCA
rnacentral:tRNA from 1 species